ACAGGGAUUGCCCUAGUAACGGCGAGUGAAGCGGCAACAGCUCAAAUUUGAAAUCUGGCCCUUGGGUCCGAAUUGUAAUUUGUAGAGGAUGAUUUUGGUGCGGUAUCUUCCGAGUUCCUUGGAACAGGACGCCUUAGAGGGUGAGAGCCCCGUACGGUUGAAUGCCUAGCCUCUGUAAAUCUCCUUCGACGAGUCGAGUAGUUUGGGAAUGCUGCUCUAAAUGGGAGGUAAAUUUCUUCUAAAGCUAAAUACUGGCCAGAGACCGAUAGCGCACAAGUAGAGUGAUCGAAAGAUGAAAAGCACUUUGAAAAGAGGGUUAAAUAGCACGUGAAAUUGUUGAAAGGGAAGGAUUUAUGACCAGACUUUUUCUGGGCGGAUCAUCCGGUGUUCUCACCGGUGCACUUUGCCCAGUUUAGGCCAGCAUCGAUUUUCGGAUAGGGAUAAAAGCUUUGGGAAUGUGGCUCCUCCGGGAGUGUUAUAGCCCAUUGUAUAAUACCUUUCUGGGGAUCGAGGUACGCGCUUCUGCAAGGAUGCUGGCGUAAUGGUUAUCAAUCACCCGUCUUGAAACACGGACCAAGGAGUCGAACAUUUGUGCAAGUGUUUGGGUGUUAAACCCUCACGCGUAAUGAAAGUGAACGGAGGUGAGAGCCCUUACGGGUGCAUCAUCGACCGAUCCUGAAGUUUUCGGAUGGAUUUGAGUAAGAGCAUAACUGUUCGGACCCGAAAGAUGGUGAACUAUGCGUGGAUAGGGUGAAGCCAGAGGAAACUCUGGUGGAGGCUCGCAGCGGUUCUGACGUGCAAAUCGAUCGUCAAAUCUGCGCAUGGGGGCGAAAGACUAAUCGA
rnacentral:rRNA from 1 species